GCUGAAUUCUAAUAACUAAGCAUCGUCAACAGGCAAAACAGGUUUAAUGUGACGAUGCAAAUUGGACAAUAGAUAGUUCUAAUCGAAUUAUCGUCGCGAACGCAAGUUUCCCCCCGUGUGACAAGUGUCAGUGCAAAAUAAAAGAGAAAAAAAAAUAAUAACAUUAAUAUUUUUAUGAAAAAACAGUGAACAUUUUACAGACAUCAAAAAUCAUCAACAUUACAAAAAAGAACACUGUGAAAUUGUUAACAUUAACUAAGACUUUUUACAACAUACAACAAAAAGGUGAAAAAUUGUACAGAAAACACAUCAAUCUAAAUAUGAAAACUUAAAUACAGAUUUAAAAACUUAUUAUCAAAUGAAUUAAAAUACAAAGUACAAUAAAAAUUAAAUAUAUAAAACUUAAAACUAAUUAUAAUAAUUCUAAAUUGCACAAAUCCCCAAAAAUGUUAUUAAGAAAAUAGAUAAAUAAAAGAUGGUGAAUUAAAAUUAAAAACGAAAAAAAUAUAUAUCUUUUAAAUGAAAAAAGGCUCAAAGGCAAAAAGACAAUACACAGGGUUACAGAAGAGACGUUAAAGAGGGAUAUCGAAGAGACAAUUUAGCCAAUGUCCCCACUGCGCUGAGGGCUGUUAAAAUUUGUAUUAUUGUGGUGCUUGCGUCAAAGGAAAAGGAACUUCAUAUGACUCUUUUAGCGGGAUUUGGCUUUCUUUCGUUUCUUUGAUUUUUAGGUGAGAUCUACUGGUUAUCUUUCCAGAUUGGUACUGUUGUCUGUUCCAAGGGUUACCCACUGGCCAUUUCCCAGGUCUUUUGGCCGUUCCCAGGACCUUUUAUUUGCCUGGAACCUCUGUGCCGCACCUGGCGAUACAAAAAUAAUUGUUGGGGAUGGAUGGUGUAAGUCAUAGAGUUAAGUUAGUUGUAUGUAAGAAGUAAAAGCGAAGUGUCGCAAACAUUAAAGAAUAAAAUUAAUAGAACUUAUGUGUGUUUUUCUAUUUUCUUAACUCACGUCACGACAAAAAUAAAGAAAAUGAUCAACUAAAAAACUAAAGGAAAAAGUAGUAUUUGUAUUGUCGUGCAAAAAACAAAAAGUGAAAAUAAAGGCCAACUGAUGUAUUCACUUUUGGAUGAUUCCAGCAGUGAAGAGGACUGGCUGAAUGAGGAAUCAGAUUAUUAAUUAUUAUUAUUGUAUAAGUUCGAUACGUUCCACCACAACUUUCCAAUACUCGUCAAUCACGGAUGCUGAUUGGCACACUGGCAUCUCCUCUACAAUUCGCUUGGCGGGUACCGUAGUGAGCGGAUCGCCGCAUAAAUUAUAUUUAGAAAAUACUAAUUUAUCUUUGUUUCAUUUCUUGAUUUUGUCUUUCUUUUAUCCUACAAUACACGCGCGAAUCACCCGCACCUCACCAAAUCCCUCAACUACACAUCGCAUAUCUCACAUCACAAAAAAAACUCUGGGGAGUUUUUAUUGUCUUACCGCUAUCGAAGCCAUUCUCCCCACUCCCCUAGAGUUAAGCAUUGGUCGCAUCGAGCCGAAUAGAAGCCUGUUGCCUUGCGUUUGUCGUUGCUCCCUUUAUUUGCAUGGAGAUUACUUGGAUCAUCUCUCAUCAUCAUAAUCAUCAACAUAUAUAAGACUAAAAACCAGGUACGUAAAUUCAGAUCUCUAUUUGAAGUGAGCUACCCGCGUUUGUUGGUGCGUAUGUUAAUUGUUUUUAUUCGAAACUACAUAAUAUUGGUCGAUUUUCAAUCACCCUUCGCGUGUGUCAUUGUAAUUCAAAUACAGUCUAUGCAACUAUUGUUGCAUUAAAUUGCAUUCGUUGUACUGAUCAUCCUUCGUCGCCGUGAUCAUACAUUUGCCUUUCGUUUGAAAACAAGUCAGUUGGUCGACUUAUAUUAACCCUUCUUGUGUUAAUAUAGUGCAUUCCCCUACAACAAUUAGUUCUGUUGUUAUGAAAAUAGUUAGCUUUGGUGCUCUUGCUCCGCUUCGAUCGUUAUUUGCAUUUCUAACCCUCAUUUCAAAUGUUGAACUCUUUGUGAGAAUAGAAAGUGCCCCCCUCGUUGUUGCUCUACUCCUUCGCCUUAGUUGAAGAAAAAUUUGCAUCACCACAGCAUACAUGCACAUUCUUUUAUAUUUGGUCGUUUGGUUUAUUUGUUGUUCAAUUUCUCACCAACCAAACGUUCGCUGUUGUUAUCCCUCUUUACGUUUCAAAGGUUGAGCCCUUUAACGAGAAUUGUUUGUUUCUAAUUAGCAAUAACAACACACUUGUAAUAACAGUGCAUCCAUCUGUCGAUUCGUUACUUUGUCGUCGUCACUAACGCGCAUUUAUUGUUGUUGCAAUUCUUCAUCGUUUGUUUCUGUCAAUUCUCACUUGAGAAUUUGUAUUGCCAAAAAUUGCAACAAAAAUACUUCAUCAUUCCACGCGCCCUUUUUAGCGUCGGUUUGAUAUACAGUAAAAGUAACAACAAAUUGUUUUGAUCUCCAACUCUCACUGUUGGAUCGUGGCGUCGCUUGUUGUGUGGGUCGUAGCUGCUUACGUAUAGUCAUUUCUCUGCCGACGUCGCUUGUGUUUUAUUCCUCUUUGUGCGAUAUCCGUUGUUGGUUCGGCACAUUGGGGUAAAACAGUACAAAUUGUGAUUUUUUUGUAAUAUAUUUUAGAAAUUAUUUCUUGUUAAUUUUGUGAUAUAUUUUUGACUAGUAGUAGGGUUUUUGGAAUUUUUGGACAAAUUCACCCUACAUUCGGCAUUCUUUGCAGAAACAUUUAGCAACAAAUAUUUGUGAAAAUUUAUCGUUUUUUGGCUAGUUUUGCAAAAUUUGUAAAUAUUAUUAAACGUUUGCAACUCUACGUAAGGUUUUUGGAAUUUUUGGACAAAUUCACCCUACAUUCGGCAUUCUUUGCACAUAUUCCAGUAAAAUAUAUUCGUUGAAACUUUUAGAUUUUGGCUAUUUUCUUCAAUUCUUUGGGCAAUUUAUUAAUAGUUGUUAGUACUAUUUGAGAAUCUCUGUAGGGUUUGGGUAUUUUUUGGAAGAAUACACCCUACUUUCGGCAUAAUCUUGAAAAAUUGUCAAAAAUUGCAUUAAACAGUCUGUACAGCUACUCAAUUUGCAGCACAUUUACACUAACUUUGGAUAAAUAUCGUACUGGUGGUAAAUUUUUGGAAAUUUGUCAUACAUUUUGAAAAAAAAAAAACAAUAAAUACCCUAUCAUUGGCAUAACCAAAGCAUUAAUUUUCGUAAUUUAUUGAUAUUGGAGCAAUUUUAGUAACAUUUGUCACAUAGGAAAAGAUUUUCUUAAUUUCUCUCCUAUUGAACAAUAUUUAUAACUUUUUGAAGUAUUUGGAGGUUUUAGUUUUGGAAAUUUCUCAUUUUCCUUCCUUUUGCAUACCGUUUGUAUUUUUUUGUCAUACAUUUAGUAACAAAAUGUCGAUCACUCCGCUCACACGUUUUACUAGAGCCGCUGACAUUGUUCUGAGGAGUGUAGACUAUUUUGAACAAAUUGAUGUCACACAGUUCAGUAUUUACAGCCUCGAAAUUCGACUUUCUGAAAUUCAAGAAUUAUGGGAAAAAGUUCAGAACACUUUUACUGAGUGUAAAAACUACCUCACGGCAUCCGAGACUGCACAGGCUGACCUUUUUGAUGUCGUUGAGGAUAAAUACAAUAAUGCAUUUAUUGCAUACCAUUGGUGUUUGACCACCAUAAAAAUGCAUUUCGACCGCCUUAAAUCCCCAAUAAGUGAUAAUUGUUAUCCUGCUGCGGCUCCUCAGACCUUGCCUCCUGAAAACUCCACUAUUGCAGUUAAUAAUGAUAAUGUGACACCAACUUCAGGCUUGCUUUCGAGCGAACCUAUCUUAUCGGUUCCUGUGCAGUCUGCUUCUCCACCCGUUAAUACUUGUUCCAAAUCUCCCACUAAUAAGAAAUCCAAUUCACCCUUCGAUAAUCAUUGUUUCAUGUUGCCACCUAUUGAUAUCGAAGUCUUUGCUGGUGAUUUUGUAUCUUGGCCAACUUUUCGAGAACUUUUCACCACCCUGUUCGUUAGUAAUUCAGGCCUUUCCAACAUAGAACGUCUUUGUCAUCUUAGGCAGAAGACUAUCGGUGAGGCUCGAGAAAUCGUAGAAAGAUUUCCCCUAACUAAUUGUAGUUUCCAUUUAGCUUGGAAAGCUUUGUCGGAUGCGUAUGAUAAUAAACGCAUCCUCGUAAAUAGUUAUAUCAAAAGUUUCUUUGACACUCCUUCCUUAGAUAUAGAAACUAGUCAAGGCUUGAAAAAUGUCCAAAAUGGAAUUAAUAGUUGUCUCGCUGCAAUGGCCGCCUAUGAUGUCGCCACGGAUCAGUGGGAUCCAAUCAUUGUAUAUAUUUGUUUGCAGCGCUUGCCCUUAAACACCUUGACUUUGUGGGAGCAAAUUAUCAGAAAUUAGUCGUUGUUGCCUUCCUGACCAGAAGUAGAUGCUUUUCUCACCGAAAUAAUACAAACUUUGCAAUGUAUUCAACAUAUUCGAAGAAAUCUGCCCAAAAACAUUGUUUCUUCCAAAUUCUUGCCUAAAUCGUUAUCAUCACAAAAUGUUUCACCUCAUCGCUCCUCCUCUAGAUCGUUAGCAUCUAAGCAUGCUUGUACAUCUAGUUCCACCAUUAACAGGUCAUUGAUACAUGAUUCAAAAUGUGUUGCUUCUUCUCCUCGGCCAAACACUUAUUGCCCAAUUUGUCGUAACCAAAGUAAUAUGCUCGGACUUUGCUCACAGUUCAGAAAACUUUCGUUUGAGGACAAAUUCUUAAUUGUGAAAAAGAAUGAACGUUGUAUCAACUGUCUAACAUGUGACCAUGUAGUGAAAAAUUGUCAUAGCACAAAUAGUUGCAAAUCUUGCAAUCAAAGGCAUCACAGCCUUCUUCACCGGCCACAAAUUAGUAGAUUUGUUGCAGAAUUAUCAUCAAACCCAUCUAUGGUAUCUACUAACAUUAAACAGAGUAAGUAUUCACCUUCCUGCAUGUCUUCCCAAACACUCGGUUUCAAAUCCAAGAAUAUACCUUCGGCUCUUACCACAGUCAAAAGUCGAGGUUUAAAGACCCCUCCGGCUUUUACAAAGGUCAAAAAUCCAGGUUCAAAGACCCCUUCGGCUUUCACAAAGCCAAAAGUCGAGGUUCAAAGACCCCUCCGGCUUUUACGAAGGUCAAAAGUCGAGGUCGAAAGUCCUCUAGAACGCACCCACCCUCUGUUAAAAAUAAUUCUAACAGUCAGUCUCCCAACACCAUUGAGAAAAUGUGCUCUUGGGAACUGCACUAGUAAACAUUGUUCAUAAUGGUAAAUCUUACACUGCAAUUGUAGACCCUUCUUCUAAGGCAUCAAUUGCUAGUAAAAAACUUAAAAAAAAUUUGGCAUUUUAACUCGCUCUGAAGCUACUCGCUCCAAAACUGCUGCACCAAGAGAAGUUUGUUCUCUUCAGUUGUCUUCUCCAAAAAAUUCAUCUAGAAUAGUCGAAACUAGAGUUUUAGUCAAGCCUAAUGUCACCGGGAAAUUGUUUUCUCUUCCACCCAUGACAAAUUUAAAGACUAGAAUUCCUAAUCUUGAUUUAGCGGAUUCUUUCGAUAAUAGCCCAAUAGAUUUGCUACUUGGCGCUGACUUGUAUCCUAAAAUUUUAGAACCUUGGCGGAUACCGUAGUGGGCGGAUCGCCGCUGGGUAUUGGUUGUUGGCGGUGGGCUCACCUUGCUCUCAUUGGAAGUAGUUGUAGUUGUAAUAAUAUACAGACAUGGGACCCUCUGCGUUCACUUGUCUGUAUUUGCAUAUGUAUUAGAAAUAGACAAGGGAUCCUCUGCGAUGACUUAGAACCUCUGCGUUCACUUGUCUUUGAGAAACGAAAGCGAAAGCACACAGGCCCCUGCCGCCACCCCAAUUACUGAAGGUAAUUUGUUCUUUGAAAAGAAAGAGUCACAAUAAAGCAUAAAUUAUAUUUAGAAAAAUACUAAUUUAUCUUUGUUUCAUUUCUUGAUUUUGUCUUUCUUUUAUCCUACACUACACGCGCGAAUCACCCGCACCUCACCAUAUCCCUCAACUACACACCUCACACAUCAUCUCACAAUCACAUAAUAACUCUGGGGAGUUAUCGUUGUUGUUACUGCCGCUGUCGAAGCCAUUCCCCCACUCCCCUGAGUUAAACAAUUAUAGAUUAUUAAUUUUAACUUUUCGUCUUCAAUACUCAUUUUUUCAAUUUUGGCGUCCUUUUCAGUAAGGUUUAACCAGUCCGAUUUAGACUGUUUACUUUUGGAAUUUUGACAUUUGUUACAUUCUGCCUACGCGGCGUUAUGGUGGGGUUCCGCACUAGCUCAGGAGGGAGCGGUUAUCCAGGGGGUUCUCAACCCUGCCACUAUCAACCCUAGGGAAUGAACACUUAAGGAAUUGUACCGGAAUAAACACAAACAAAGAAAAACUGAAAAUAAACAUACACAACAUAGACCUAUGACACAGGAGCUUGAUAUUAUUGCUCCCCCACUAUGCCCACCCAUCCUUGGCCCUUUAGUCCAAAUACACUCAAAAAAAUUUUAAAGGGCCCCAAAACCUCCUCUCUCACAAGCAAAAUUUAACACGACAUAUUCUUGAAACCAUUAGACAUUAAACUUAUUUAUUAGAAUCAUUAUUGUUCUCUUAAAACUAAUUUCAACAUGAACACAUAAAAAAACUGGACUAUUAAUACCCGAACAAAAAAUUUUUGUCAAUACUCAGAUUACCUUUUUUUAUUACACUGCUAGAAGCGCCAAAUUUUGGCCAAUACAACUACUCUCAAUUUCUGCCUAAAGGAGCUCGCUUAGACGAAUGUUUUGGGCAUUCUAAAUUUUUGUCCCAAAAAAAUAUAGAAAUGGUCUAGCUGUAAUUUUUGAUACAACCCUACACUCACUAAGUAAAAUUUACCUGGGCAUUAAUUAUCCUCACAAUGACACCUUAAGCACUAUUGAUCUAUCUACAAUAACAAACAAAUACUUUUCUUAUAAUUUUUUUCUUUUGGUCAGAUUCGGAUAGACAUUAAUUGACGAAUUUUUUCUAUUUCAGUGGUAAGUAACAUAAAUUUUGAAUUAUAUUACCUUCACAACGGCAUACUUA